rnacentral:rRNA from 1 species
ACAGCAGCCGCCGCGGUAAUACGUAGGUGGCAAGCGUUGUCCGGAAUUAUUGGGCGUAAAGCGCGCGCAGGUGGUUCCUUAAGUCUGAUGUGAAAGCCCCCGGCUCAACCGGGGAGGGUCAUUGGAAACUGGGGAACUUGAGUGCAGAAGAGGAUAGUGGAAUUCCAAGUGUAGCGGUGAGAUGCGUAGAGAUUUGGAGGAACACCAGUGGCGAAGGCGACUGUCAGGUCUGUAACUGACACUGAGGCGCGAAAGCGUGGGGAGCAAACAGGAUUAGAUACCCGCGUAGUCCCUGUCUCUUAUAC